rnacentral:lncRNA from 1 species
CACACUGGUUUUGGUGUCUAAGGACAUUAGCCACCAUGCAGCCACUAAUGUAUGAUCAAUGUCCUCUAUCAAAAUUUAUAUUGCUCCAUUGCCCACUGCAUGUGUUUUGGUGUCUCUCUCUCAAUAGUGAACCAUCACUUCAGCUUACAAUGCUCACCAAAAUAUUAUUUGUUUUUGGUAUCCCUGCUUGAUGCGUUCAACACCAUUCUCACAUGCUGCUAUUGAAUAGUGGCUUACAACAAACACACGUCCACGACAUUUCCCGUGCGUUUCUUCAUCACUUCCAUGAAAUCAACCAUCAUUCCGCACUUCAUGGUUGCCACUUCCAUGUCCAUCUUAUUUAUUCUGCCUGCUACUUCCUCUAUUGUUGUACCAUAUUUGCCUCCUUAAGCAUCUGCCUUUCCUCUUUCUGUGUGACCUCCAUCCUAAGCCUCUCAAUUUCAUUAUGAGCUUGAUUUUCUGCCCCUGGUUGCUCCUCACAUGCCGCUUGAACUGCCUAGACAACCCUAAACAUGCCCUCUCCUCAGUAACAAUGCCUGGCACAUUAGACCAAUUAACUCCUCAACCAAAACCUCUAACUCGGUUUCUCUUCUCCGGUCCUAGAACAGAAGAUUAUACAAGGUGGAGUGCCUCAUCAUUUACUUCUUCAUUCCUAUCCUCAUACUCUUUCAGCUUUGUGUUAAAUUAUUCUUCCUAGAUGUACAUAAAUAUUUGAUUACCAUAUUAUUAAACUUUUACUUGUUCAACAACAAUUCCAAAGAGAGCAAAUUCUCAACAUUUGCUAAGGCUGUUUAGUUACUUGCAAUGAUUUUCGAGUGGGGUAAAUCACCAAAAUGGUCCCUGAGAUUUGCAUAACUCAUCGCUUUGGUCCCUGAGAUUCCAAAUCGAUAAAAGUGGUCUCUGAGAUUGUCCACCAUCCAUCAUUUUGGUCCUUCCGUUAAAAACUCCGUUAAGUGUCCCGGAGCUCUUGGCCGGAAGUUUGGGCAAUUUUCAAAGCUUCGUAACUCAAUCAUUUCUUAACCAAAUUUGACCCAUAAUAUAUCAAAAUGAAGAUAGGAAAGUGUAGAAUAAGAUUAUACCUAUUUCAAAGCCCAAUGGUUGCCGGAGAUGGCCGAAAA